UACGGAGGGGGCUAGCGUUGUUCGGAAUUACUGGGCGUAAAGCGCGCGUAGGCGGCCCUGCAAGUCGGGGGUGAAAGCCCGAGGCUCAACCUCGGAACUGCCUUCGAUACUGCGGGUCUCGAGUCCGGGAGAGGUGAGUGGAAUUCCUAGUGUAGAGGUGAAAUUCGUAGAUAUUAGGAAGAACACCAGUGGCGAAGGCGGCUCACUGGCCCGAUACUGACGCUGAGGUGCGAAAGCGUGGGGAGCAAACAGG
rnacentral:rRNA from 1 species